rnacentral:rRNA from 1 species
CCUACGGGAGGCAGCAGUGAGGAAUAUUGGUCAAUGGGCGAGAGCCUGAACCAGCCAAGUCGCGUGAAGGAUGACGGCCCUACGGGUUGUAAACUUCUUUUGUCAGGGAGCAAUUGAGUCCACGUGUGGUCUUAGCGAGAGUACCUGAAGAAAAAGCAUCGGCUAACUCCGUGCCAGCAGCCGCGGUAAUACGGAGGAUGCGAGCGUUAUCCGGAUUUACUGGGUGUAAAGGGAGCGUAGACGGAAAGGCAAGUCAGAAGUGAAAACCCAAGGCUCAACCAUGGGACUGCUUUUGAAACUGUCAAACGAGAGUACGGGAGAGGUAAGAGGAAUUCCUAGUGUAGCGGUGAAAUGCGUAGAUAUUAGGAGGAACACCAGUGGCGAAGGCGUCUUACUGGACCGAAACUGACGUUGAGGCUCGAAAGCGUGGGGAGCAAACAGGAUUAGAUACCCGGGUAGUC